AAGCCAUGGCCCUAGGGUUGAUUCCACCAGGCAAGGAUUUGGAGCGAAGGGCAAGUCAGGGGGAAAGAGAGGCCCAAUCACUGACAAUUUUUCAAAACGCAAAGAUGAGUUCAGACUGCUGGGUAAACUGAGGCUGGACCACUGGCCACAGUCCCAGCAUUCCAAUCUGCAGCUGCUAAGACCUUCACAUUUUAGGGGGUUCAAGUUUCAAUACUCUGAUAGAUUCAGAAAAGAGCGGCUAGGAAAUAAAGAAAGAAGGCUACAACUUCCAACCUUCCCAACAAUGCUGUCCCUCCGGAAUUCAGCUUGGGACUCAUGGGGGUUUGUUUUCUGCGCGGGAGAAAGAGCUGAGCUGGAGGAAAACUGGAAAGGAGUAGGGUGUGGUGAUUCCUUGAGGGAAGAGAAAGGGAAAAUAAAGUCUCUGCGGUACUCCGGUGCCCUAAACCCAGCGGGAGGGUCCUGAGGCGGUGGGCCCGCCCGCUGAUAGGCAGUCGUCUAUCUCUGCUGUGGAGCUCGCUGAGCGCAAACACGCCCCAGAAAAACAUCACAACCUGUCACUCCCCGCCCUGCUGCCCUGAGACCCCUGACAAGAAGAGAAAACUUGUUCCGGGGCGCAACAGAAGCCAGGCUUGCCAACGAGGACAAUGUCUAAGGCUGAAAAAAGAGUAAAAAUGAAAUUACUGGACCAACAGCCUUCUUCCUCCUAGCCGCUGGCAGCACCCUGCUGUUUUCCACCAGUCCGCUAAUAUUUACAGUCGCCAGGAGCGAACCCCUACCUCCAGGUAGACAGGCCAGGAAGACGCAGAGAAAAGCUGUGGACUAGGGGACCCACAAGAAACACGGUCCCGGCCUCCAUUUGCGGGGUCGCGGUGCGGGCCGGCUUACCUGUGGAUGCAGUUUCCAUGGCGACGGGAGGCGACCGGGCGGGGCCGGAGCACAGUUCCCGCGACGACGUUACCCCAGCUCCAGCGCCCGACCCCCAGGCGGGCUCCCCAUCCUGCUGCGCUGGCCUGGCCCCCAUCACCGCCGUCGCUUCGUCUUCCCCAUCCCCCCGGCCCCCGAACCACUGGGACCCGGGGCUACCCAGAGACAGCGGCUCAUCUUGCAGAUCCGGCGGUGCGGCCAUGGCUGGCUGUGCCCCAGGCUGGGCUACUGUGGCUUGGCAAGGCCGGGGUGCGCUGGCUAGGGACGCGGACGCUCCCUGCUGCUGUCCCUACCGGGACUCCGGACUCCAGAAGGCUGCAGAGUCUCCGCGCCACCGUCGCUGCUUUUGCUGCAACUCGGGCCGAGCCGCGGCUGCUGUUCUGGGCGCUUCGGCUCCUCCUUCUCCCCCUCCUCUUCCUCCGGGGCCCCGGGGCGGCUGCCGCCCGCGCUCCUCCCCUGCUCCAGAGGCAGCUUGCUGUGCCUGCGCUGCUUCGCUACUCCCAAGCCUGUUAUUACGCAGGUGAAAAUGGCCUGCUUGGUCCGAGUCCUCCCUAAUGCACGUCAGCCCCGGGCCUGUUAAUGGCAGCCUCUGAUUAGGGGAUGUGCCAAACCCACUUGUUUUACCCUUUAUCUGGGGAAGAAUACACAGAGAGGACCAGCAGGUACUGGCUGCAGCUUGACUAGACAAGAAGUUAAAACCAGACUGGAGUCCUAGGACUCUAGGAUAGAAAGCGAAUCUCAGAACAACCGUUCUGAGGGUUAGCUGCAUAAAGGACACUGGCCUGAGCCUUGACCUGGUGAUCUGCAACCUGGAGGUUAAAUCCUUCAUCCUGAAGUUUCCAGAACCGGCCCAAACAAACAAACAAAAACAAUAACAAAACAGUAUAGGAAUGGGCCCUCAGAUGGAACUCCACAAAAAUGCUUUCCAGACCUGUCCCAAGUAGCAUUGAAAGCAAACAGGAUGCUACCAGGCAUUAAACAACAACAACGACGACGACAGCAACAGCAACAACAAAUGGCUGUGCCAUAUAAAUGACAGGCCGUGUUGGGCAGUCUGUUUUGAGAAGUGGAAAUCCACAGGAACUUCUUGCUCCCCCUCCCCACCCCUUUUCUGUGCUCUCUGAUACUUAAUGAACAGUAAAGGCGACUCACCUACAUGUGCUAUUCCCAUAUUUAGACCUAUUUAGACCUAUCUUUUCAAACAAGCCGUCUUACCGGUUCCUGAACUGUAAAAUGGUGUGUGCCUUUCCUUUAAGUCUUGGCUCAAGUCUAACAUCAGAGUAGAUGAGUACAGUUAUCGGUUAGUCCUACUCAAAAAAAGUGGAAGGCAACUGUGCCCUUGCAUGCAGAGUGGUUGUGUAGGGUUCUCAGCUACCAUUUGCAUACCAGGAGCAUCACAACUAUCUGUAAAUUCAAAGGCCAGAGUCAUCAACAUCUGGGACUCCUAAAAAUGAUGAAAAUAGAAAAUUUUUUAUUCACUGUAAUCUUUUGUUCUACUAGUACAACAAUGCUCAAAAGAUAGCAAUAAAUUGGAGGAAAAUGUGUGUAAUCUUACAGUCACCAAAAUUUUACAGAUUGAUGUAUUAAAAAUUAAUUCCUGAGUCCAGAGAGACAGCUUAGUAUUUAAGAGUGAUUGCUGCUUUUCCGGGGGACCAGACCUGACAGCUCACACUUGCCUGUAACUCCAAUACACACACACACACACAAACCACUACACCUUUGAAAAAAUUGGUUUCUAUGAAAUAUGUUCAUUAUCUUCAUAGUGACAAUGGCAUCACAGUUGUAUGCAUGGGACAAAAAUCAAGUUGUCAUGUGUAUGUGUGCAAUUCAAUGUGUACCAGUUAUUCUAAUAAAGCUAUAAAAAUU
rnacentral:lncRNA from 1 species